rnacentral:rRNA from 1 species
CAGUCGCCGCGGUAAUACGAAGGGUGCAAGCGUUAAUCGGAAUUACUGGGCGUAAAGCGUGCGCAGGCGGUUGUGUAAGACAGGUGUGAAAUCCCCGGGCUUAACCUGGGAACUGCGCUUGUGACUGCACAGCUAGAGUAUGGCAGAGGGGGGUGGAAUUCCACGUGUAGCAGUGAAAUGCGUAGAGAUGUGGAGGAACACCGAUGGCGAAGGCAGCCCCCUGGGCCAACACUGACGCUCAUGCACGAAAGCGUGGGGAGCAAACAGGAUUAGAUACCCCCGUAGUCCCUGUCUCUUAUAC